UACGUAGGGUGCAAGCGUUGUCCGGAUUUAUUGGGCGUAAAGAGCUCGUAGGCGGUCUGUCGCGUCGGAUGUGAAAACCCAGGGCUCAACCCUGGGCCUGCAUUCGAUACGGGCAGACUAGAGUAUGGCAGGGGAGACUGGAAUUCCUGGUGUAGCGGUGAAAUGCGCAGAUAUCAGGAGGAACACCGGUGGCGAAGGCGGGUCUCUGGGCCAAAACUGACGCUGAGGAGCGAAAGCAUGGGGAGCGAACAGG
rnacentral:rRNA from 1 species